GGAAAUGCUAAGUCCCCACCCUUCAAUCACACAGAGCAAGAGAGAAACAAAUCAGUUUAAAUUCUCGGAGCUUGGGGACUAUUACUUUAAGAAUGAAGGUGGAAGAAGGGAAGAGAGUUAAGAAAUUCCAGUUAUCAUGCCACAACAGAGAGCUGGAUCAGAAGUGGAGCAGCCGCGACUCAAACCAACACUCAUAUGGGAUGCCAGCACUGCAGGCAGCGGCUUUACCCACCACGCCACAGCACCGGCCCCAUGAUAGUGCUUACUAUACUACAGUGGUGUGUGGUACUUGCUCAGCAAGGUGUGUGCAGAGUGCCUGCAAGAAUGUGAGAAUAGACAAGCAAAUACAAGCAGUAAAACUAUUUAAGAUCUUCAUUCCAUCCAUCUGCUCCAGUCUCCACAGAAUGUGCUCAUAGCUGCAGAAGCAGUAGGUGUUGGGAAGUUGCAACCUCACAUGCAUGGAAGCAAACUUGGCCUUUGUCAUGUAUGCCUCACAGUAUGUAAGUUCAUGCAAACUUGGCAAAGAAAGCCCUCCAUUUGCUUAAAGUUGUUUCUAUCAAUUUUAAACCUCACAUUUUCUGAUAACCUUUAAAGAGCUUCCACUGACAAACUAAUCAUGUUCCCAUUAUAUAUGCUAUCUUGUUUGUAUGACAUUAUAUACUUUCAUUUGUCUUUAUUCAUUAUGCUGAAAAUUUAAUUGGACUAGUAAUAAAGCAAUAUCAAAGAAAUGACU